rnacentral:rRNA from 1 species
UACGUAGGGUGCGAGCGUUGUCCGGAAUUAUUGGGCGUAAAGAGCUCGUAGGCGGCUUGUCGCGUCGGAUGUGAAAGCUCGGGGCUUAACCCCGGGCCUGCAGUGGGUACGGGCAGACUAGAGUGCGGUAGGGGAGACUGGAAUUCCUGGUGUAGCGGUGAAAUGCGCAGAUAUCAGGAGGAACACCGGUGGCGAAGGCGGGUCUCUGGGCCGUAACUGACGCUGAGGAGCGAAAGCGUGGGGAGCGAACAGG